rnacentral:rRNA from 1 species
GAUGAACGCUGGCGGUGUGCCUAAUACAUGCAAGUCGAGCGAACAGACGAGGAGCUUACUCCUCUGACGUUAGCGGCGGACGGGUGAGUAACACGUGGAUAACCUACCUAUAAGACUGGGAUAACUUCGGGAAACCGGAGCUAAUACCGGAUAACAUGUUGAACCGCAUGGUUCAACAGUGAAAGACGGUCUUGCUGUCACUUAUAGAUGGAUCCGCGUCGCAUUAGCUAGUUGGUAAGGUAACGGCUUACCAAGGCAACGAUGCGUAGCCGACCUGAGAGGGUGAUCGGCCACACUGGAACUGAGACACGGUCCAGACUCCUACGGGAGGCAGCAGUAGGGAAUCUUCCGCAAUGGGCGAAAGCCUGACGGAGCAACGCCGCGUGAGUGAAGAAGGUCUUCGGAUCGUAAAACUCUGUUAUUAGGGAAGAACAAAUGUGUAAGUAACUAUGCACGUCUUGACGGUACCUAAUCAGAAAGCCACGGCUAACUACGCG